ACAAACACAUUUUUUUAGUCCUCUCUUUUCAGACUGAAGACAGAGGGCACAAAUGCAUUUCUGGAAACAGUCGUGUCUGGGAGCUGACAAGCACGACUCUGCUGCCAUGCCAACCAGCAGCGAGAGCAAUCCCUCUUCAAUAUGCCUCUCCUCCAGUGGAUUUGGAUCCUCCAGACCAAAGUUCUCAUCAAAUGUGAGCUGGAUCCUCAUGUUGUCGGCCGCCACCAGUCUCCAGACCAGCAUGGUAUCCCUGGGAUACGUGUGUGGGAAGUCUGGGCUGUGGAUCAUUCCCUCUCCAGACACAGAGUCUAAUACAUGAGAUGAUCAGGAGAACCAGGAGGAGGUUAAUGGGCUCAAGCGAGGGAUUGUUCUCCUGGACAGUUGACAGCAUAAUAAAUGGAUGAGUAACCUUUUCCCCCUGUGCAAUAAAGACUUGAGAUGCAUAUUGAGACCAGUCUGUCUUUAAUUUAAUAUGAACUUGAUGUUGUUACUUAUAAGAGAAUUAAAAACACAUUCAGGUUCGGUUUUCUAAAUAUUUUAUAUACCAUUUUGUUGGAUAAUUCAAAGCACAACAGAAAUUUAAACUUAUUUAGUAUUCCUAACAAUUUACACUUUUAUUUAAACAACUUGAAACAGUUAUGAGAAAAAUGAAAACUUAAACUUCAUCAGGAAAACAGAUGAAGUGUGAUUGCUACUAUUUGUAGAUCUAUCAAGAAAAUAUGACAGUAAUAUCUGAGUUCAUAUUAAAAGAUCUGUUUGUUUUGUUCACUUGAGCUCUUGUCUGUGUUGUUCUAGUCCUAAUCUAAAAUUGAAAGAUCAGCCAUUCACUGAUUAAACAGUUCUCCUAAAAACACUAACUCUAGAUCCCACUAGCUUCUCUUUGCAUCACAUCUUCUCCCACAUGUCACAGGCGCAGAUUUUACCAAAUGAGAAAUGCUCAAUGAAAUGUCAUCAAUCUAAAUGGACAAAUACUGAACAUACUGCGAAUUAAAUAUAUGUUUGCCUUACAUAUUGUUGUAGUCAUAAGAGAAAAAGAUUAUGCUGAAACAUAUCUGUUAUCACCCUGUUUCUCAUCUUGCUCCUUAUGUUAACAAAUUUAAAAAGGCAUCUAAGAGGGUCUUGAAUGGGUCAAUGAAAUGAAAUACAUUUUGUGGAACAUCAAGUCCAGUCAUGUUUUUGACAUGUUGGUCCUAUGAUCCACCUUGAUUCUGGGAUGAAUGGUGUAUGGCCUAAAGCAGGCUUCUUACUUUUUUAAUACAUAUUAAUCUGGAGGUGAAUGUUCAAUGCCUUAACAAGAGUCUAAUAAUGUCUCCAAUUGGUUAAAAAUAUUAGUGUAAAUAGAACGUGGGCCAGUUUGAGCUGCUCUGGAUAUUCAGCAUGCCGAGGUGAGCAACUCCUACACAGGUGGUCUUUAUGCAAUAUGAUGAGAUUAGUUGGCAUUUGCAUUGAUUUUAUAGGAGUAGUGUAGGACUUAUGGCAUCAAAACUUUUCAACUGGUUGAGAUUUUUCAUAGUCAGGGAUAACCUGAUCACCAGAAACUGAAAGUCCAAUCCAAUUAAUAGAAUACACUUUCUACAAAUGCUCCCAAAUGAUCAAAUAGUCAUUAGUUUAAUUAACCACAAAUUAUGGUACAGUGGGUUAACUGGGGCUUCACCAAGCAUUAACAUGCCAACAUGAGUAUUGGUGUGAUGUGACAAAAUGUCUGUGAUGUGGUCAGAUGUCUAAAGCAUUCUGUACAACCUGCAGACGAUCCAGUAAUGCUUUAGCAGGAGAAAAAUAAAUCACAGUAAUCUAAUCUUGAAGAAACCAGUGCAUAGAUAAGAAUUUCAAUCUUGUGUUGUCAGAUAUUAAGGAGCUUAGCAAUUUUUCACAACUGAUAAAAAUUCAUGACUAGAGACUGAAAAUAACCAGAUAAAGUUAAACCAGUCUAAUUUUCAUCCAGGCUUCUAAUGGAAGAUUUUGCAAAAGAGGCUGAAGGACCAAGAGUCACAUGAUGUUUUUCUGGAGCAUAAAGAAGAAUUUCAGAUUUGUCUUCUUUUAGUUGGGAAAAAAGAUAACCAUCCAACAUUUUACACAGUCUAAACACUUGUGUGUUUUUUAAAGCCUACAGUUUUGAUGCCUACAGGAGUUGUACAGUUGAAUAUCAUCUGCAUAGCAGGAUAUGAGAAGAUUACUGGUGAAACACUAGAGUCACUCAGGCGGUUUCUGAGAAUCAGUAAACAGACUUUGUAGGAAAUGCAAAACAGAUAAUUCUGAUGGUUUUGAAACUGUAACUGUUUAACAACUUGGCUUGGUAUACCUGAGAAAUAAAAAAAUAUAUAAAUUAAAAGAUAAACUAAUGCUUUGUCGAGUCAAUAACAUUCAAAGCUCUUAAACUGGAGUGUUACAGCGAUCUGUGGACAAUAUCUUGAUUUAUGAAGAAAUCCCCAAAAACCUGUAUUAACCUGUUACAGUCGGUAAAGAAGAAAUCAACAUUCAGCAAAGGGAUUAUAGAGAUAGAUAUGGGUAAUUAAAAGUAAAUAUGAAGUAUAUUUUAUAUUAUUUCAAGCUUUAUUUUAAGAGUACAACAAACAGUCUUAUAACUAAAUUUCAUACAGUGACUUUGACUGAAAUGAUGAAGCUCUUUUUGAUCCUCACUUGGAAUUUCUUCUGACAUUUUUGAGAAAAAAAGUGAGAUAGCUGAGGCAUGAAAUAAAUGAUUCCUGAAAAAUGAACCAAUUCUUCUUUAUUGAAAGUAUAUCUUUGAUGUUUUCAUUUGUUUGGUGAUGAUCCAGGAGGGAACAAGCUGAAUGUGCCAGAUGCAGAGAAAAACAAAGCCCAUGCAUGACUUCUCAAUGAACAGGCUCUUUCAUAACUGUGAGGAGUUUGGC